rnacentral:rRNA from 1 species
GAUGAACGCUGGCGGCGUGCCUAAUACAUGCAAGUCGAGCGAAUGGAUUAAGAGCUUGCUCUUAUGUAGUCAGCGGCGGACGGGUGAGUAACACGUGGGUAACCUGCCCAUAAGACUGGGAUAACUCCGGGAAACCGGGGCUAAUACCGGAUAACAUUUUGAACCGCAUGGUUCGAAAUUGAAAGGCGGCUUCGGCUGUCACUUAGGGAUGGACCCGCGUCGCAUUAGCUAGUUGGUGAGGUAACGGCUCACCAAGGCAACGAUGCGUAGCCGACCUGAGAGGGUGAUCGGCCACACUGGGACUGAGACACGGCCCAGACUCCUACGGGAGGCAGCAGUAGGGAAUCUUCCGCAAUGGACGAAAGUCUGACGGAGCAACGCCGCGUGAGUGAUGAAGGCUUUCGGGUCGUAAAACUCUGUUGUUAGGGAAGAACAAGUGCUAGUUGAAUAAGCUGGCACCUUGACGGUACCUAACCAGAAAGCCACGGCUAACUACGUGCCAGCCGCCGCGGUAA